AAAUUUUCGUGUGCUAUAGCCCACGCCUUAUGUCGUAGCUCCGGGCCCUAGACCCGGAUCGUCGAAAAUUUUUCUUGGACGUCGAAUACGGCCAAAAGAACCAUAGUCACCGCCCCGCUAGGACCAAAUUACAUUUAUUGGGAGUUUACGGCCAUAAAAUUGGAAAUCCGCGCGAGUCCCAAAUGUUCGUGUACUAUAUCCCACGCCUUCUGCCGUGGCCCCAGGCCAUUGGACCCGGAUCGUCUAAAAUUUUU
rnacentral:lncRNA from 1 species